GACGAACGCUGGCGGCGUGCUUAACACAUGCAAGUCGAACGGAAAGGCCCUGCUUUUGUGGGGUGCUCGAGUGGCGAACGGGUGAGUAACACGUGAGUAACCUGCCCUUGACUUUGGGAUAACUUCAGGAAACUGGGGCUAAUACCGGAUAGGAGCUCCUGCUGCAUGGUGGGGGUUGGAAAGUUUCGGCGGUUGGGGAUGGACUCGCGGCUUAUCAGCUUGUUGGUGGGGUAGUGGCUUACCAAGGCUUUGACGGGUAGCCGGCCUGAGAGGGGGACCGGCCACAUUGGGACUGAGAUACGGCCCAGACUCCUACGGGAGGCAGCAGUGGGGAAUAUAGCACAAUGGGCGGAAGCCUGAUGCAGAAACGCCGCGUGCGGGAUGACGGCCUUCGGGUUGUAAACCGCUUUCGCCUGUGACGAAGCGAGAGUGACGGUAAUGGGUAAAGAAGCACCGGCUAACUACGUG
rnacentral:rRNA from 1 species